GUACGUUCAAUCAAAAAAUAUUCAUUCACUACUCAUCAAUCAUCUAUCUAGACUCACCUUUGAUUCCAUGAGAUUGGCUAGGGAAGACUAGACUCGAGCUCAACUAAUAACACUCCAUUUCACUCCUGAUUCAGAAUGUGUGGAUACAAGAUCAGUCAGGCUGAUUCCAACAGAAACUCUACUCAGCUUAGUUCAAAGCAGUUCAGUUCGGUUAAAGGAUAAUUCAGUUCAGCUAAGCCUUUAAAAAAAUAUCUAAGGGACAUAACUGAACCAAGAUCAAUCCACAUACAGGUUUAAAAACUAAUAUGGACAGGAAGCUUAAAAAAUCAUUCCACUUGUUCCAAACAAAACUUCUCUGAACUAGUAGCUAUGGCUUACCAAUUUCCUAAAGCUUUAAGAUGAACUUGGUUGAUAUAAACUUCAAUCUGAACACACGUCUAACCUGAUCAGGACAAGAUACCCAUGAUAGGUUGAAGAUCAGAAACAGACCAAAUCGUUUUGGUUACCUAACAAGAACUGAAGCUCAAGCAAAACUGAUCUGAUCAAACCAAUAUGUUCUUACCGAUAAAAUCCAAGGCUAAAGAACUUGGGUGAUUCUAAACUCUUGAACACCAAACCUUCAUCUCUUAACCACACCAGACAACACUGAUUAAAGUGACAGGAUGGUGAGAAAGGGUCGUCCAAGCUCACUUAUCUUCCCUGAUUUUUUUCUGAAUUUUUCAACUAAUUUUUCUCACAGAUUUUUCUCUUUUCUUUCUCUCUUUCUCUCUGAAUUUUCUCUGGUUUUUCUUGCAGUAACAGGACGUCCAGAGGAGAGAAGAAGAUGCCUUAUACCAUAUGGGGUUGCUUCAGCUCAGGGUUUCUCUUUACACAAAGUGGUAGUUUGGAGAAACAUGUGGCAACCAGCUUCAGCACAAGCAGCUCACCUUUCCCUUACAAGAAGAAAGCUGCAAGCAGCUGAAGCAAACAGCUUGUGACCAGCAUGUGACUUCUAAUAAGCAACCAGGUAAGCAAGUAGGUGCCUGUCAUGUGACCUAAUUACUGAGAAAGCAAAUAGGCUAGAAGGUGCAAGGCAUGUGACUGUUCAGAAAUAAUUUUAAGAGUUUUGUCGAUAUUUUUCGGACUGUUUCGACUAAAUAUUUUUCAUCAUUCGAAUCUCGUGCGGCUCUGAAUAAACUCGCCUAGCAUGAAUAAAAAUCGACAAUAAUAAUUAACACUCGACCAGAAUCAUCAAGAGAUGGUUUUUCGACCAAAAGACAGCCCGCCGAGAGGUUAAUUCACUGUGUCGAUUUUUAUUUAAAUUCUGAUCGAUGAAUCUUCAAACUGAUCUUAAAGAAUUUUCUCUACCAAAAUUCUAUCUGCUCGUGAGGGUUAUUACACCAGCGGCCCUUGAAAAUUCGGAGGACCGAGUGCCGCUCAUGCCCGGUCGUACUCAUAACCGCAUCAGGUCUCCAAGGUGAACAGGCUAUGGUCGAUGGAACAAUGUAGGCAAGGAAGUCGGCAAAAUGGAUCCGUAACUUUGGGAAAAGGAUUGGCUAUGAGGGCUGGGCUCGAGGGUCCCAGUUCCGUACCCGUCGACUGUUGGCGGGCUGCUUGAGCUGCGGACGUGGCGAUAGUGGACCGCCUCGUGUCGGCCGGGGGACGGACUGGGAACGGCUCUUUUGGGAUCUUUCCCCGGGCGUCGAACAGCCAACUUAGAACUGGUACGGACAAGGGGAAUCUGACCGUUUAAUUAAAACUAAGCAUUGCGAUGGUCCUUGCGGAUGCUAACGCAAUGUGAUUUCUGCCCAGUGCUCUGAAUGUCAAAGUGAAGAAAUUCAACCAAGCGCGGGUAAAUGGCGGGAGUAACUAUGACUCUCUUAAGGUAGCCAAAUGCCUCGUCAUCUAAUUUGUGACGCGCAUGAAUGGAUUAACGAGAUUCCCACUGUCCCUGUAUACUAUCUAGGGAAACCACAGUGAAGGGAACGGGCUUGGCAGAAUCAGCGGGGAAAGAAGACCCUGUUGAGUUUGACUCUAGUCCGACUUUGUGAAAUGACUUGAGAGGUGUAGAAUAAGUGGGAGCUCCGGCGUAAGUGAAAUACCACUACUUUUAACGUUAUCUUACUUACUCCGUGAUCCGGAGGCGGGGUAAGAACCCCUUCUUUUAGACCCAAGACUCGCUUCGGUGGGUCAAUCCGGGCGGAGGAAAUUGUCAGGUGGGGAGUUUGGCUGGGGCGGCACAUCUGUUAAAAGAUGAGCUCAACGAGAACAGAAUUCUCGUGUGGAACAAAAGGGUAAAAGCUCAUAUGAUUCUGAUUUUUCACCAAGUGUUGGAUUGUUCACCCACCAAUAGGGAACGUGAGCUGGGUUUAGACCGACAGAUUAGUUUUACCCUACUAAUGCCCGCGUCGCUAUAGUAAUUCAACCUAGUACGAGAGGAACCGUUGAUUCGCACAAUUGGUCAUCGGGCUUGGUUGAAAAGCUAGUGGCGUGAAGCUACCCUGCGCUGGAUUAUGACUGAACGCCUCUAAGUCUGAAUCUGGGCUAGAAGCGACGCAUGCGCCCGCUGCCCGAUUGCCAACCCUUAGUAGGAGCUUCGGCUCCCAAAGGCACAUGUCGUUGGCUAAGUCCGUUCGACGGAAGCGCCGUUCGGACCGCCUUGAAAUACAAUGACCACCGAGCGGCGGGUAGAAUCCUUUGCAGACGACUUAAAUACGCGACGGGGUAUUGUAAGUGGCAGAUUGGCCUUGCUGCCAUGAUCCACUGAGAUUCAUCCCUUUGUCACUAAUAUUCGACCCUCCCCCUU
rnacentral:rRNA from 1 species